CGGGAGCAGUAAUAGUGACAUAAGCAAAGGAAAGGGACCAGUCAACUGAUAAUAACUGCAAGUGGGAGAAUGCCUGAAGAGUGCCAUUGUCUGAAUAUGCAGGUGAGCUUCUGGAAUUGUGGUUAUUCAUAAGAUAGGUCCUGUAUUGUUGGAUAACGAACAUGUUUAAAAGAAGCAUAUCCUCAGAUAUGCAGAUGACACAACCUUGAUGGCAGAAAGUGAGGAGGAAUUAAAUAACCUUUUAAUGAGGGUGAAAGAGGAGAGAGCAAAAUAUGGUCUGCAGCUCAACAUCAAAAAAAUGAAGGACAGAUCGUGGACAGAUGAAGGGGAUGACAGAGGAUGAGAUGGUUGGACAGGGUUCUUGAAGCUACCAGCAUGAGUUUGACCAAACUGCGGGAGGCAGUGGAAGACAGGAGUGCCUGGCGUGCUCUGGUCCAUGGGGUCACGAAGAGUCAGACACGACUAAAUGACUAAACAACAACAAUCAAUCCUUUAGAAACUGAGGAAAUUUGGCAUUCCAAAUGAAUCAAAACAAAUACCUCAGUGCAUAUUGCAUGAUAACUAACAUUCAAAUUACCUUAAGCAAUUCCUUCACAAACCUUGUUAGUAAGCUUUUACUGAUAGCUUAGGCAGAAUUAGCUUAUAUAUUUUUAAAAAUCUACAUAAUAGCUAUGUAGUCAUCAAGAAACUGACUUCCAGCACAUGUUUAAAAACUCCAGAUGUUAAAUUAAUGGUGCAAACAGAAUUUAACUAGCAAUAUUCCUUUUAUUUAUGUAGUCUAAUUUGUUUUCUUGCCGUUCCUAUUUCCCCCUCCAUUUUCUGAAAUAUAUAGCUCACUGACUCAGUCUAGAAGGUAUCCAGCGAGGAAGCUAUUCCCAUAAUGAUGUACAAAGAAUGAAUCAUCAUUCUUUAGUCACUUCUUCCCUUUAUUUGAAACCUCAUUUGAAUUCAUGGUUAUUUUUUAUUUAUUUAAAUAAUUAUAUUUGCGAGUUCAUCACAAAGUCAUGCAGUUAAAUAACUGACAGUAUAAUGGCCCUUCUAUCCCAAUAGACAAAGCAUACUAAAAUUAAGAAAGGAAAUUUUCUCCACAGCGUAUUUUGCCCUAAGGCUUCCCAAUGUUGUCUCCACAGGAAAAGUAUGCAUGGACCAAACUAUGGAUUUUUUACUUUAGUUUAACUCUAGCUUGUUUUUACAUCUUAGCCAAACCAGGCUUACAAACUAUCUCUGGGGCCAACAAACCAACAUCUGAAACCAUGGGUAUUAUGUUCCUGAUGUUAUCCCACCAGAACAUAAAAUAGUUAUUCCAAAAAUGGGCUGCAUCCAAGCAGUGCAUCCAAGUCUCAGUGAUAUGGGAGAGACUGGCAGGGAGAUGGGAGGUGACGAGCAGAAGGUAGAAGUCUGUGCUGUGGGAAUUGACAAAGGAGCAAGGCAAACUUUGCUUUCUGAGGACUGGGCAGGGGGAACAUUAUAGAACUAGGAGUCGGAUUGAAUCAUCCAGUGUGGUGUAGUGGUUAAGAGCGGUGGACUUGUAAUCUGGUGAACCGGGUUCGCAUCUCCGCUCCUCCACAUGCAGCUGCUGGGUGACCUUGGGCCAGUCACACUUCUCUGAAGUCUCUCAGCCUCACUCACCUCACAUAGUGUUUGUUGUGGGGGAGGAAGGGAAAGGAGAUUGUUAGCUGCUUUGAGACUCCGUAGAGGAGUGAUAAAGCGGGAUAUCAAAUCCAAACUCUUCUUCUUCUUCUUCUUGAGCUGGUAAAUGGACAUACUGAAAGGGAUUGAAAAGAUGCUGAGUAGGAAAAGGAAUUUUUCACACAUAGCUGCAAGUUGUGGAUCUCAGCUUCUACAAACUGUAGUUUGUUAUUAUGUCCAAACUUGAUGUCAUGGCUUAAUUCUAAAUUGUUGCAUCACUCUAUCCCUGCUCCCCCACCUAGCUACAAAAAUGUAUGGAAAGCCUACCCCCCCCCAAAAGAAAACGACUCACAAUGCUAGGGCUCUCCUGGUCAUCUCUUGCCCCACUUACUCUGCCUGGCAACAGGCUCAUUUCAUAGUCCACUGAGAAGUUAUCCCUUUCCAGAUCAGCUACCUGGGGAAAAUAUUUUUAAAGGAACCAUGGGUGCUUCUACCCAUAUCUAAUAAGGGAUGUAUGUUCAAUGUAAGCAUUUGUACAAUUUAACCUAAUUGUCUCCCUCUCAAUAGCCACUCACUUUCCACUAAAAUAUUUCUGCAACAAUCUACUCUCCCCUUUUCUCCUUUAUCAAUUACAGUUUAUUGAAAGUUAAUCAUAAUUUCAUGCAAGAGAAUCUUGCACAAAAAUAUAAAAUUAUGUAUUAGCUCUUCAAACAAUCUAUACAAAAAAGAAAAAGGGGGUAAACCUACCUAUUUACAAGAAUAGUGAUAUAAUGUGAGAUACACACACAAAAAAACACCAGGUCUUAUUAACAUUCAUGUCUUAAAUAUCUUCUGCUAUAGUACCACAUAAUCAAUCCCCCCACCAGUUAUUCCUAACUCUUUUUACUGAAUUGCACCACUGGUCCUCAUUUAUGUAGAGCUCAUUUAUAUACUCCUUGCUUUCUUAACAUUAUAGUUAGCUUGAUAACUUUCAGCUGUUACCACAAUUUCCUAAAUAAUUCUAUUUUACUCGGCAUGCUAUCCACUUUUCAACAUUUGACAUUCUUGCUAGGGCAAGUUUAUAGAAAAAACGUUCUUGAGAUGCUGUCCAGUCAGAUGUGCUGAAAUGUGUAUUCCACUGAACUUUGCUUUAUUGAAGUGAUGUUGGCAGCCAUUAACAACCAUUGUUAUGUACUAGUACUAGCACUAGGUGUGGCAGGCAACACCGCUGAGUUUCAGAAACCUUUUAAAAACAUUGUUUCUGUGAGAAGAUGUCUUUUGGGGAAACUCUUCAAGCUCUGGCACAGACGUGACUUGCCUCAACUGAACUGGCCUUAGAGGCCUCAAAAAUAGUACAGGUUUCCAUCAUCUCAGGAGGGGGUGUGGCAGUCAAAAGAAAAGCCAAAACACCUUCCUGAUUCCACUGAGCUGCUUGCUCAGAAUCAGUUUACACUACAAUGACUUGGAAAUUAACACUUGGCCUUCCAUCUUCAGGCUUACCUAACUGAAACUCAACCCCUCUAGGCAGUGUUUUAUUUCCCCUUACCUCACCUUCACCCUUUGGGGCAUUCCCAUGCACACUCACUUCUCCUCUAACUCUGGCUUUCAGUCUGUUCUAUUAGCGCUCACCACCAAUAUUACAAUAUGUCCUUUGGACACCACCAGCAGCACCCUCCACCAUCUCCUGUGGGACCCCCUAGACCUGCCCAUCUUCUCAGCUGUGCUUUCUGCAGUUAGGACUCAGAUGGAGCAAGCAGCACCCCUCCCCCAAGUUUCUCUCCCUCAGGAUGAAGAAUCCAGCUGCAGCAAUCAGAAACAAACUUCCAUCUGUCCCCUGACCCCUCUUCACAGGAAGAUAGCAAGAUCCAUUAUAUAAGAAGCUAUAUCGCCCACUGCCGGGAGAAUCAAAAACACUAUAGUGCUAUUUUCACAAAUUGGCAUACCAGGCAGAGAUCAUACAUACAUAGCUAAAUGUGAACUGCAACAGUGUAACAAGAAUACAAUCAAAAGACAAACGUGUUUCUUUGCCUCGUUCCUUAGUCCUUGCUGACACUCAGACCCACUCAUACAAGUUUUUAUAUACAGUAGUACCUUGGUUUACGAACUUAAUCUGUUCCUGAAGUCCGUUCUUAAACCAAAGCGUUCUUAAACCAAGGUGUGCUUUCUCAUAGCAGCGGGGGACUCAAUUUACAAAUGGAACACACUCAACAGGAAGCGGAACAUGUUCUGCUUCCAAAGCAAAGUUCACAAACCAAAACACCUACUUCCGGGUUUGCAGCGUUCUUAAUCCAAGUAAUUCAUAAACUGAGCUGUUCUUAAACCAAGGUACCACUGUACGCUGAUAUAUGGGUUGAUGUAGCCACGUCCUCAUCUUUGCCUUUUGGCACCUACCCUCUUUCUACCCUAAGUCAGAAAGCUAUUACUAGCACGUUUUUGUUUUGUUUUCCCAAUCUCUCAUGCUCAACCGCGAAGCUGUAGUACUGAAGAAAAAGUGUAUCUUUACUCAAAGAGUGGCCAGAAUGUGAAAGGAAUUAUGUUGAGGAGCUUUGAGAGGAAAGGAUUAACCCUUCAUACGGAGUGUUUAGGAACAGGGGUAAGAAGGGAAGAUUUAGGGAGGGGUAGCCAUCUCAAUGUUGUGGUACUCAAGGUCUCUUCAGCCCCAGCUAGUAUGGCCAGUGGUCAAGGAUGACAGGAGAUGUUGUAGACCAGCAAUGUAUGGAGGACCACAGGUUCCCCACCCCUUCCUUCAGACUUUUUGUUGUUUGCUGCACGCUGAGAGUGGUUGAAGAUUUGAGGAGGAAUGUUCAUGUUCUCCAUCCCAUUUUUGCACUUGGACAAUAGUAAGAGAAUUGGUGAUGUGGUGGUGUUUUGCCAGUGCUUCAGCACUGCAAAGGAUUUUGGUACUGCAGUAAGUUACUCACCCAGGAGUUUGAGACAACAAACAACCACCAUUAGAUAAAAAUAACUGUGGUUUAUUUGAACAUCUGUGGGCCAGUUCCUGGCAUGUUUAACAAACUAUGGUGAAAACAAAGCUUGGUAUGGCCAAGUAAAGCCAAGUGCAUUGAUUUGCCUUUGCAAUGCAAAUUUAAUAUUUUUAGUAGAGAGGGGGCCAAAAAUAGAGGUAGAAUGAUAAUGUAGAAAAUGGAAAUCUAGAUAAGAAAGAUGAUCUUGUGAAAGUAAGUUUGCUUUUGGGGGCGGGGUAGAGAAACAGAUGGUACUGAAAACAGUAAUUAAUAUAAACAGAAAAAAUGACAUUCUGCAACCAUUCAGCUUUUGUAGAUGAACUCCAUUAUACUCAUAUUCCUAUUACUUAAUUUAAAAAUGGAGUAGGCAAAGAUUCCAUCCUGGAUAAAAAUUGAUCUUGCAUUUUUAUAAAUGGCAUAAACUGAGAUGCUUCAAUGGUUUUGUUCCUUUGGCAAGCCUUCCUGACAGUUAGAAAAGACCCAAAGUCUCUCGCCAGCCAUCUAACAAGUGUGGAGAGCUUGAAAAGACAAGAUCUUGCCUCACUUGCACCAAGGCCUGGAUAAAAGCAGAAGAAUCCUGCUGUCUCUUUCUAAUCUCCUGUUGUGUGAGGAGUAGACAGUCAUAGGUCUCUACAGUUUCUCUUCAGGAGGCAAGAGACACUCACACCUGGCAAGCUAAUGGCUGCCUGGAGAUACCUUUCUUUGCAUCAGAUUUUUUUGGGGGGGAUUCCUGAAGUUGGGGGUACUUCCAUUUCCAGUGUCUUCUAUCAAAUUUAUUUACUUCUUUAAAAUCAUUCCACUCCAUAUAGUAACUUCAAGUGCUCAAGGAACGUCACACACAUUAUUGCAGUAAUCUUUACACAAACAUUAUAGCACAAUUCUAUCAUAUAGUCAUCGCUCCACAUCAAACCCCUAUCGCUCAAAACUGAAGUGUCUCUAUGACAACACCUCCCAUCAGAGAAGCUUUAAAUUUUUCUGGUAGCUAGAAAGGGCAGCCUUUGCUCUCAGAUGAAGGCUAAAGGUAUUUGGAGAUACCAUGUGAAUGCUUUAAAUAGAUGCCUGGAUCAUCCACUGGCUUAUGGACUUCAGCCUUUCAGAAUCUUCUGCAGCCAUGCUCAAAAACAACAAAGCUUAUAGUAUAGUGACAUGAUCAGUAACUCCUGGCCUAAGCAACAAGCAGCUCUGGGAAAACAGAAUUGGCACAGAUGACAUAGGCAAAAGAAAUAAUAGAAAGGGUAAGGCUAGAUAAGAAUAAACUGUACAGUUGGAAGGAACACCAAGGAACAUCUAGUCCAACCCCCUGCGAUGCAGAAAUCACAACCUUAGGGAUCUCUUCAAAAGAUGAAUCUGGAAAUACCCCAGAAUAAAUAUAUUUGAGCUAUUUUUGAGUGAAUGGAAGUGUAUUGAGUGAGUAGAAUCCCUACUUUAUGGAUUUUGAUGUUUUAUGUGUUUUAGUUUUAUGUUGUGUAUUAUUUAACUUUGCUGUCUGAUUUCCUUUGCAAACCACAGUGAUAUUUUAUGGUGGGGAAAAUAACAUAAAAAUAGUAAAGCUCCCUUGGCUGCUCCUGGUAAUCCUUGAAAGUGGCCUCUCUAUGCAUGUCAGGAGUAGAUUCUGCAACAUGUUCUCCAAUUCACUUGAGUAUGGAAAGUGCUGAAUUCCAUUCCAGUUACUGUUCAUCUUAAUAUCUGUCAGAGGCAACAGUACUAUUCCCUACCUCUGUGGAUAUUGUGCCCUCAGUGUCAGUAUACUUACAGAAAGACAACAUGAUUUCAUGGCAGGUAGCCAAUGGUCAAUGUCUCCACUUAGGAUGAAUGGGUGAUAUUCAACUAAGACAUGCUUAGAAUUGAUUCAAUGAAAUCAAGCUACUUAAAUUAUUUGAAUAGAACUAAUCUGAGUUAGACUAACUUUGGCUAUCACCUAAUAUAGAGAUAGGGAGCCUAUGGCCCUCCAGAUGGGACUCCAGUCCUCAUCAGCCCAAGUCACCAGGGCCAAUGGCUAGCAAUGAUGGCAGCAACAUCUGGAGGACCACAGUUCUCAGCUCUUGCCCUAAUAUUAAUGUUUACUGCCAGUUCUCACAAUAAGGAAAACAUAGUUAUCUGACACUACAUUCUUCAUUCAGUACUUAUUUGGCAAGCAUAGUUUUCUGAAUAUAUCAGUGUAUACAUCAGUGUUCUCCUGUUAUUACUUCAAUAAAUCAUUUAUUGUGUGGCACAUGACAUUUAACUAAAGGGUCAAGGUAAGAUUAUGAAAAAAAAACCUAAUCACAGAAGAAUCCCUGUGACCCAGAACUGUGUGAUAUUUGGUUGGGCUCAUUAAAAAGUUGUGCAAAAAAGCACUUCACCAGCUGAAAUGAUUGCAAGAGGGUUCUGUAGUUCAAACUGCAUUGGUUAAUAUUGUAAGGGAGAUUUUCAAAUAAUAAAAACCAGCUAUGCUGCCAGCUCAGACCAACACACCAUUCUCUUAGCAAAGGGUGGCUAGAUCUGAAUGCUUCUGGAAGUUUGCAUUUUGAGGUACUUAAUAUAUUUGCAGUCAAUCAUCUGAAAGAGACAAACUAAUUUGUUUGCCAGCAGGAAAGCUCACAUUACAGUUUAUCAGAGAGUGAUGGGGAAUCAAAGAGAACAACAGGAAUAUGCCAGUGAUAGAUCACAUCAGAUGAAGCUCUUCCCAGGAAUAAAGCACCCUAGUACAGAGGGAAAAUAUAUGUAUAUUUCACACAGAGAGAGCACCUGCCAUGUGGCAACAAUACAUUUCUCCUUCUAGUGUUGUCAUUUAUGUCUCUGGGUCUGAAAAACAAUUUAAACACACUUAUUUGGCAGACAUCAUUUACAUUGCAAUUCAGAGCAGCUUCACACUUUAUGUGGCAUAGAUGACUGCUAUGUGUACACAGCAAUAUUUACACCAAGCACAUAAAAUGAAGAUGACAUACACAUAUCUUGAAAAAACUGUACAUUGAUCUGGAUGCCCUAGGGCCUAGGCCAACCAGCACCCUGGCUGGGGACAGCAGAAUUUUUUGGGCAGCUUACCAUAACUCAAAGUAAUUAUUGUGUCAAGGUUUCUGGGGAAAAUAUAAAAUAAAAUAUAAAAGUGCACUAAAUUAUUACUGCAGGGUGUGGUGACAUCCACUAGUUGGCUUUUUCAAAAUCUUCAACAAUUAAAUCAUAUAUAACCAGAAUAUUUUAUAAAUAGAAUUGGGGUGGAACAUUUGGAAAAGAUGUGGAUUUUUUGUUAAAAAAACAAACCUGUGGCAAAUAAUAAUAAUUGCAACUAAAUGGCGUUCUCCCCCCGCCAAAUGUAUCAACUAUGACGGAAUGAUUUAACGGAACUUGGCAUUUGGGCGCAAUAUGUCAUAUAUCUGAGAUGUCUGAACAAGUAAGCUCUUAAAACUAUGGGCAGGGGGAAGGGCCCCCAACAUUCUCAGGUGUGUAGGCUCCCUUUGUGUGAUUGGUGCACAGAUUUAAGGAGUGGAACACACUUACACAUCUCUUCCCCAGUCGGAAACCUCGCUAAACAGGAUUCCUAGUUACACAGAGGUUUCUAAGUAUGUUCUGCUGAACACAUUUAUAAACCUGACUGUGCAGAGGUCUGAUGUGGUUCCUGCAUGCCCAGGGACAAUGGUAGUCCCUGUCCUCAGCCAAUGUUUAAGACAGUGCAUGCUCAAGCAAAUGCUUGAACAGCAUCGAUAUAGGCACUAACCUAUACGGUAUAAAGCAUUUUCACUGCUGAUAUUUGGUGUUUUCUUUCUAUCUCAGUCUUCCCCUGCUACCUUCCUGACAUUUUGGACUACAACUUUGGACAGCAUGGUCAAUGGUCAGGGAUGAUGGAGCUGUAGUCCAAAACAUCUGAAGGGCACCAGGAUGACAAAGGCUGGUCUUUACGACUGCGUACGUGAAAUCUGCCAUACAUUGCAAAAUGUGGAUAAUAAUGAUAGAUGAUAGAUAGAUAUAGAUAGAUAGAUAGAUAGAUGAUGGAUAUAGACUUAAUUCAUCUGGAAAGAAGAGUCCAUGGCUUUAAAUUGUAAUGUAGCUAUUAUUAUAGCCCUGAAACAGGAUGGGGGAUCAGGAUAUAUGAUUAUAGGCACUAGCUUUAUUAUACCCAACUGAUGUGCUGAACAGGCACUGGACAGAAAUGUGCUAUUCAAACACAUUUUCAAACUACUUAGCAUUUCAAAGUUACAGCAUGCCUGUCUGGUUUCAUUUUGCCCAAAAUAGUAAUGCUUUCCAUUUUUCAAAAUUCUGUGAAUUUAUCUGGAACUCCCUUUUAACAAUUGGUCUCAGACAGUAUAGAUAACUGUAAGAAAGAAAGAAUAGGAAUACCUCAGUUUUAAAAAAGUAGCGCUUACUAUGGAAAUCAUUUUCAAUAAUAACGAUGCCGUUUUUAACAAUGUUCAUUUUAAAAUCAGUAAUGGUAACUACAUUUUCACUUGGAAUCUGCAACUUUCUUUAAAAUUCUUCCAGGCUCAUUUACCUGAAUAAAUUGACUCCUUUCUCCAUGUUUUCAGAAUGCUAUCUACAGUAGCCACAAAUAUGUGAGUCAUAACUAAAUAUUUUUAAAUAAUAGCAGUACAGUAAUCACAACCAUCAUCCCAACUUUUUGCUUAGGAGAUGUAACAUUGGGUGAAAUGGCUUGAAGAAGCAGACAUGCCUGGCAGUGCCGCACAAAGAAGAGGAGGAAGCAGCAGCCACAAAACAGCAUUUCCACCCACCCUAGGUGCAAUCAGCAUACUCUCCUCCUUGGACUGCAGCCCUAUCCCACUCAGCAAAGCUGCUCUCAUGCCUGGGCUUCAGAAGCAACAGCCAGGUAGAGCCUGGGCUGACAGCUAGAAGUGUGGGCAAAAUGAAAUCUCUGUUAGGCAGCACAGGGAGCAGUUGAAAGGGAACUGGACAGGGACAAAAAGUUGAAAGGGAACUGGACAGGAACAAAUUCACCUCUGGGGUCAUCAGGC